AUUGAUAGCUAGAGCAGUUUCCAUCUUCUCUCGAUCAAUACCCAUUGAAU
rnacentral:sRNA from 1 species